GGGAAGUUGGCGACAGACGGACAUCUCGCCAACCCGGUCAGAUCCGGAAGGAAGCAGCCGUAACGAGUUUUGUUCGGGUUGUUGUUCAGCUUCCCACU
rnacentral:SRP_RNA from 1 species